rnacentral:rRNA from 1 species
CGCCUGUUUAUCAAAAACAUCUCUUCUCGUUAGUUUUUGAAGUAUGGCCUGCCCACUGACCUUGAAUGUUGAAGGGCCGCGGUAUUUUGACCGUGCAAAGGUAGCAUAGUCAUUAGUUCUUUAAUUGUGAUCUGGUAUGAAUGGCUUGACGAGGCAUAAGCUGUCUUAAUUUUGAAUUGUUUAUUGAAUUUGGUCUUUGAGUUAAAAUUCUUAGAUGUUUUUAUGGGACGAGAAGACCCUAUAGAGUUUGACAUUUAUUAUGGUCUUUUUCUGUUUGUGAGGGUUCACUAGGGCUGUGUAAUAUGUUUUGUUGGGGUGAUGGGAGGGAUAUUAUUUAACCCCUCCUUUGUGUUGUUAUAUUUAUUUAUAUUUGCUUGAUCCAUUUAUUUUGAUUGUAAGAUUAAAUUACCUUAGGGAUAACAGCGUAA